GGACGAACGCUGGCGGCGUGCCUAACACAUGCAAGUCGAGCGGAGAUUAUAGCAAUGUAAUCUUAGCGGCGGACGGGUGAGUAACGCGUGGGCAACCUGCCUUUCACAGGGGGAUAACACAGGGAAACUUGUGCUAAUACCGCAUAAGAUCAUAGGAGGACAUCCUCCAGUGACCAAAGGAGCAAUCCGGUGAGAGAUGGGCCCGCGUCCAAUUAGCUAGUUGGUGGUGUAACGGACCACCAAGGCGACGAUUGGUAGCCGAACUGAGAGGUUGAUCGGCCACAUUGGGACUGAGAUACGGCCCAGACUCCUACGGGAGGCAGCAGUGGGGAAUAUUGCGCAAUGGGGGGAACCCUGACGCCAGCAACGCCGCGUGAAGGAUGAAGGUUUUCGGAUCGUAAACUUCUUUGAUGAGGGACGAAAGAAAUGACGGCACCUCAAAAACAAGCCACGGCUAACUACGUGCCAGCCGCAGC
rnacentral:rRNA from 1 species